AGAACGGCCUCUCGUUUAUCGAGACCUCUGCUUUGGACUCGACGAAUGUGGAAGCGGCCUUCCAGACCAUUCUGACGGAGAUCUACCGCAUCGUGUCCCAGAAGCAAAUGUCCGACAGACGCGAGAACGACAUGUCUCCGAGCAACAAUGUGGUCCCGAUCCAUGUCCCCCCGACCACAGAAAACAAACCAAAGAUGCAGUGCUGUCAAAAUAUAUAACGAGUUUCUUUCCAGUGUAAUAUUCCCCCCACUUCCAAAAUGGAAAUAGAUCUUUGGGUUCACGUUGGUAUUCCUUUGAUUAUCCCCACCCCACCCCACCCUGUCCCCAUUCAAUUAGGCCUUUCUGAUUCUUUUCACUGGAGUUCUCCAUGUCUUAACCUCUUUUGAUUUCCAUAUUACGAAUCCUUCAUCGUUUGCAUGUGGCUGCAGCAUUAUCGAAACGUUAAGUCUGGCAGGGCAAAUAUCACGACGGAUUCCCCUUUCCGGCGUGCUGGCGUAUUCAGCCGAGAACCAGGAUUGGCCACCCCCACCCCCUCCCGUCUUUUGCAGCUUGGAAUGCGAAUCACGACACUCCAGAAAAUGUGAGUUGACGACCCCUGAGAAUUUUUUUUAAGAAACACUUUUUAUCCACUGAACCUCAAUAUCGGAUGUUUCCGGAGGAACAGGCUGUGUACAGCUUGCUACUGUCAGCCUGUCCCCCCCCCCCCC